ACAAGGAAAUCUUGAAUGUGAGGAUGCAUAUCGGCAUGUUGUGGUCCUGUGGCUCAAACAUAUCUUGCAACAUAACUGAUGCCUACCCACAGAUGCUUUUCAUUGCAGCCCUCCCACCUGAUAUUCUCUGUCUGAAGUGUGACUGCAUCUCCCAGUAUCUUUUAAAAUUUCCUGUUUGUAAUACAAGAGAAUGACAACUCAAGUGGUAUUCUACUGAGAGAGUCUUUGUAAUAAGGGCCUUAAGCAAACUCACAAAUUAUAAUUCUCUCUAGGGAUUAUAAUUAGGAGGUGUGGAUUUUGAGCUGUUGUGUAACCAGGUUUUUUCUAUUGCUGUAUUAAUGGGACAUUUUGUUUAUUCUCACUCAUUUAGUCAACAAAAGGAGCCCAGCAGAACAACCUAAUGAAUAGGUCUUGAGUGUGGCUCAUUUCUCCCUAGCUUCAUUGGGGAGGCUCUGUUGAUUCACAACCUUUUAAGUGAUUUUCCUGACACUUUCCCCCCCUCUCCAUAUUCUCCAUUUAGUUGAGCAACUUGCAUCUUAAGGAAGAGAAAAUCAAACCAGAUGCCAAUGGUGCUGUUGUCAAGACCAAUGCUAAUUCAGAGAAGGCAGAUGAAGAAGAGAAAGAAGACAGAGCUGCCCAGUCUUUACUCAACAAGCUGAUCAGAAGCAACCUUGUCGAUAACACUAACCAAGUGGAAGUCCUGCAGCGGGACCCAAAUUCCCCGCUCUACUCUGUGAAGUCCUUUGAGGAGCUUCGGCUGAAACCACAGCUUCUCCAGGGAGUCUAUGCCAUGGGCUUCAACCGUCCAUC